AAGUCGAAUAGUUUUCUGUAAAUGUGCUCUAAGUUUCUUCCCAACUUUCUGUGUCAAGGAUUUCAUGAUGGAGGUUGCUGGGAGAAUGUGAAGAAUCCCGAGAGACCCAUAGUCACAAGAAUGACAACAUACAGGUACGAUGCCACUGCGGCAGGUGCUGGGGGAGCUUGCUAACUCUGAGAAGUGACUGGAAUGUUCUACCACUGGAUAUCAGCUUGCCAGCAAAUGAGGCCAGCCAGUGGCUGUGUCAAGCUACAGAUUUACUGACAAAUCAGUAUCCCAGGAAUAAGACAGCCUUGCGCUUACAAAGCAUCCAGGCACUGAGAAAGAGCUGCAUUGGAAGGUAGCCAUUGCGCAGAAGGUGCUUGAGUUAGGAGACCUGCUUGGAGCCUCACUUCAGCCACAGGCUUGCCGUGUGGAAUUUGGCCAGGCGUUCACAC